rnacentral:tRNA from 1 species
CAGGGAGACAACAAAAUGUUUAAUAUUAUUAUUUUGUCACCUUAGGUCGAUCGGUAUCUCACGUUCUUAAUUUAUUAAGAAUUUCAUUUCCUAAGUUUUUCUAGGUCACACCCAUUAUUUUUCCUGGGCCAUUAGCUCAGGUGGUUAGAGCGCACCCCUGAUAAGGGUGAGGUCCCUGGUUCAAGUCCAGGAUGGCCCAUAUCUCUAUGUUGGGGGUAUAGCUCAGUUGGUAGAGCGCCUGCUUUGCAAGCAGGAUGUCAGCGGUUCGAGUCCGCUUACCUCCACUGAUUACCACCUCUUCCAUAAUCUGUAGAAAGGAAAACUUUUGUGUUGUGAUCCUUAUUCUGAACGAAUCUAGCUUCCUAAUGAAUCCAUUAAGAUGCUGGACUCAUUGAAUUAAUUUCAUUGUUUUCAGAGAACCUUGACAACUGCAUAGAUUAUUUUAAAGACAAUAAGCAUCUUUAAUGAUGCAGAUUUAUUAUUUGUGCGAAUGCAUUAAUAACAAUUCUAUUAAGCUGAUGCUUCAAAUUUUGAAGUUAUU